CGCAUGUCUCAUUUUCUUUAAUACCUGGUCGUGAGUUUAUAUUCACGUACUUUGUUCGGCUAAUCAUUUGUAUGAAAGUUACAUUUUGUGUAAUACAUGGUAUGCAGCAAGCAAUGUUAAGCAUUUUGGCGUCAAUAAUACACAGGAAUAUACAGGUUAAUCUAGGUAUAUCGAAUAAGAAGUAGUGGCUCUGAUUCAGGGGUCGUGACUACGACCGAUGAAUGAGUGCUAUAAAGUCCUGAAAUUACUCUCCCAAGAAAGGGAAUAACCCUCAAUAAGAAAACUUAAAACGGAAAGGAGGACCACGAGAGUCCUAAACAGGAGAGUAAUAUGAAGAGGGGAAAAGGGGGUCCCUACCUUUUAAUAAUUCUAAAGAUACACACAACAAGACAGGUGGGAAGAAAUGUAGCAAAAGAGAGUCCUGCAGGCUAGACACAGGAACCAGUUACUAAAAAACUGCCUGCUGAAUGUCUAGGAUCCUAAAAGGCACGCCCUCUAAAUCUUCCCAGAACAGGGACCCUAAUUGAAAAAGGGGGUAACUAAAGAAAUAGGGAAAGGGAGCAAAUGUAAAGGGAGGUAUCCCAAGGAGUAAAUAUUGUGCAAAAAACUCCUAUAAAGGUCCACUUGCCCUAGUUACCUCGGCACUGUGAAAAAUCACCAGUGCCUACCAAAGAAACUCAGUCCCUGCCUGUCAAAAGUAAAUAAUAACUGAUAAAAUAAAUUAAAUUAAAUCAAUCCAUCAGUGCUACCAAAAAAGUGCAAAACAAAGAAAAUAAAAUAAAAAGAAGCUCGACGCGCGUUUCAGCGUUUCAACACGCCGUCAUCAGGAGCAAUAAACUUUUGGAGUUCCCUGUAGCGAUUUAAAUACACCUUGUUACAAUCUAUAAGAUGGAAAGCAGCUGUUGUGUACCACGUGUGUUGCCGACAAUACUGUUAGCUUAUUGGUCAGCUACCUCUUAGGCCCGCCUCUUGUCCGCCGCGUCAUAUGACGUGGUCUUAGAAUGAAUGAAGGGGCGUAAUAAUGAGGUUUAGACGAUGUCCACAUGAGUUCAUCCACAGGAUUUUUUAUUCGUUACAAUAUAGUUUGGAGACUUUAUUAGGAUACAGAACUGAAGGAGGGUUUACAUAGUGAUAACGAUAUGUAGUUUACAAGCGCCCAAUGCGCAUGCGCACAUAUCGGUUAGCAAUUGGUCCAAUGCGUAUCCCUCCUAUCCAUCUGUCGAUUGGAUCUGUCACUUGUCAGUCACGUCGUAAGACGUGAUACUGAACUGAAUCGAGGGACAUAAUGUUUAAAUAGUGCCCCCAUAAGACCCAAGUCGGAUGAGUAAUUCCGUAAGGAUUAUUAAAUUGGUAGCAAUAUAAUGAAUAAAAGUCCCGUUAUGAUCGCUAGUUAUUAAUAGUAGUAAUCACCAGGAAUGAUUAUAAGCUAUGGCUGUCCAUUGGUCCAUUGUCUUUAAAAGUCUAUCCAUCCGCCAGAUACAGUCCUGGCAUAGGUAGGUGGAUAAAAUACAGGAAAUAACUGUGAAUAAUGCCCCUAUGGGGUCAACAUGAAAAUAUACACGAAAUUCCCAUAGACAGAGACCCAUUAUGGACCGCUAGGUGACAAUAUGAUCUUAACAUAAUUGAUUAAAUACCCUGGUGAAAACUGAUACUGUACGAUCUUAACAUAAUAAAUUAAAUUGAAUAAAUAAAUAUCCUGGUAAUAACUAAUACUAAGUAGUAUAAAUUAAAGAUGCUCAAAUGUUGCCACAUGAUACACAAUAAAAAUUAAUUAGUAAAUAUUAACCAUAUACCCUGAGUAUAUAUGUCCAAAUUGUGGACAUAAUUAAAAAGCCUAUGAUAUAUGUAUAUUAAUAUAUUGAUGUAAUAACGGAAGGCUGAUUAAGACAUUACAGUAAAGGCUCGCAAUCCAAAAAAGUUGAUGACAUAAAGUCCAGGUGAUAAGCAUUUGGGAACAGAAGAAGUUUUGCAAAAUAAAAAGAUCAUAAUAGUGUGUACAUUAAUAAUGUAAUAUAUUUAAUCCAUCGGGGGACUAAUGAAAAUUUCCCUAUAAAUUGUUUAUAUCCAGUGUAGAGAGAGAAAAUAGAGAAAACAGAGACAGAGAAAAAUAUGUCGAGAGAUAUGGCAAAUUAGAGAAAAGCGGUAAAGGAAAAACCCUCAUUUAGGCCAGCAGGGGAGAGGGUCUUGAGCCUGUAGAUCCAAUAGGAUUCACGUUGUCUCAGUUUCUUAUCCCAAUCGCCCUUACGUUGAGUUUGUGGGAUAUGUUCUAUUCCCAUGAACUUAAGUUUGUUGGCAGAAUUCAAAUGGUGAAUUCUCAAAUGACGUGAGAUUGGGGUUUCUAAGGGUCUUCUAACCGAAUUUACAUGUUCCCUAAUCCUUAGUUUGAAAGGUCUAAACGUUUUCCCCACAUAUUUAACGCCACAUGAACAGGUAAGUAAAUAAAUGACACCUUCCGUCCUACAAUUGAUAAACGAGUGGACUGAAAAGGUUUCUUUAUUACUACUGUCCGUAAAUUCCUUAGAUUUUUGAUCAAUAAAUUCACAUGCGCUGCAGUGUCCGCACCUAUACGUCCCCUUGGGCAAAUAGUUUUGAGACCCUCUUUUAGGGGGGGAUAGAUGGCUCUGCACCAGUGUAUCCCGUAGGUUUUUGCCCCUCCGUGCUGUCACAGAGGGAAACAUGGUGACUACCUGUUUGAUUUGUGGAUCAGAUGUUAGGAUUGGCCAAAAUCGCUUCAGUGUACCCAUCAUAAAGUCCCAACCUGCAUCAUACGUGGCAAUACAUCGGAUUCGUUUUUGAUCUUGUGCUUGCACCUUAACAUCUGUUAAGAGUGACUCACGUUCGGUGCUGAUUGCUCUAGUGUACGCUCUGCGUAACACUCUAUUGGGAUAGCCCUUAUCCUUAAAGGCUCGCCUGAGAUCCCAUGCCUUGGCUUUGAAGUCAUCUAUAGAAGAACAGUUACACCGCAAUCUUAGGUAUUGCCCAAUUGGUAUACCUGCCUUUAGGGGUUGGGGGUGAUGACUAUGCCAAUUUAGCAGGCUAUUGGUGGCAGUAUGUUUUUUAUAAAGGGUGGUUGAGGCCCUUCCUCCGGAAAUGGUUAUAGUAAUAUCCAAAAAAUUAAGUUGUUUGCCGCCUAUCUCGCUAGUGAAUCUUAGAUUCAGAUCAUUCACAUUAAGGAGGCUUACAAAGGUCUCAAAGUCUUUUUUGCUCCCUGUCCAUAUGACCAGAACGUCAUCUAUAUAGCGUUUCCAACAGAAUAUCAUUUCCAUGAAGUAGCUCAAAUGUGGGGCUGAUCUAAUGAGAUUUUCCCAGGUCCCCAAAUAGAGAUUAGCAUAUGAGGGGGCACAGGAAGUCCCCAUAGCUGUCCCCCUAAUUUGCUGAUAGAUGGUACCAUUAAAGAUAAAGAUAUUUCUUGUAAGGACCAUUUUAAGUAUGUUGGAAACCAAAUCUGUGUAUGCGACUGGAGUGUGCAAUUCAUGUUCAAGGAUAGUUCUGAUAUUAUCAAUUCCUUGAAUAUGUGGUAUGGAACUAUACAACGACUCCACAUCCAGACUGCAUAGAAGUGCUUGUUCCGGUAUGGAGAUAUCCUUCAAGAAAUUAAGCAUCUGUUUCGUGUCCCUUAUGUAAGAGGGUAAUUUUGCAACCAUAGGGGACAAAAUCUUAUCCAAAAAGAUGCUCAGAUUUUGGGUUAGGUUCCCACAACCUGAAACAAUUGGUCUACCUGACCGAUGUAUUGCCACGUAUGAUGCAGGUUGGGACUUUAUGAUGGGUACACUGAAGCGAUUUUGGCCAAUCCUAACAUCUGAUCCACAAAUCAAACAGGUAGUCACCAUGUUUCCCUCUGUGACAGCACGGAGGGGCAAAAACCUACGGGAUACACUGGUGCAGAGCCAUCUAUCCCCCCCUAAAAGAGGGUCUCAAAACUAUUUGCCCAAGGGGACGUAUAGGUGCGGACACUGCAGCGCAUGUGAAUUUAUUGAUCAAAAAUCUAAGGAAUUUACGGACAGUAGUAAUAAAGGAACCUUUUCAGUCCACUCGUUUAUCAAUUGUAGGACGGAAGGUGUCAUUUAUUUACUUACCUGUUCAUGUGGCGUUAAAUAUGUGGGGAAAACGUUUAGACCUUUCAAACUAAGGAUUAGGGAACAUGUAAAUUCGGUUAGAAGACCCUUAGAAACCCCAAUCUCACGUCAUUUGAGAAUUCACCAUUUGAAUUCUGCCAACAAACUUAAGUUCAUGGGAAUAGAACAUAUCCCACAAACUCAACGUAAGGGCGAUUGGGAUAAGAAACUGAGACAACGUGAAUCCUAUUGGAUCUACAGGCUCAAGACCCUCUCCCCUGCUGGCCUAAAUGAGGGUUUUUCCUUUACCGCUUUUCUCUAAUUUGCCAUAUCUCUCGACAUAUUUUUCUCUGUCUCUGUUUUCUCUAUUUUCUCUCUCUACACUGGAUAUAAACAAUUUAUAGGGAAAUUUUCAUUAGUCCCCCGAUGGAUUAAAUAUAUUACAUUAUUAAUGUACACACUAUUAUGAUCUUUUUAUUUUGCAAAACUUCUUCUGUUCCCAAAUGCUUAUCACCUGGACUUUAUGUCAUCAACUUUUUUGGAUUGCGAGCCUUUACUGUAAUGUCUUAAUCAGCCUUCCGUUAUUACAUCAAUAUAUUAAUAUACAUAUAUCAUAGGCUUUUUAAUUAUGUCCACAAUUUGGACAUAUAUACUCAGGGUAUAUGGUUAAUAUUUACUAAUUAAUUUUUAUUGUGUAUCAUGUGGCAACAUUUGAGCAUCUUUAAUUUAUACUACUUAGUAUUAGUUAUUACCAGGAUAUUUAUUUAUUCAAUUUAAUUUAUUAUGUUAAGAUCGUACAGUAUCAGUUUUCACCAGGGUAUUUAAUCAAUUAUGUUAAGAUCAUAUUGUCACCUAGCGGUCCAUAAUGGGUCUCUGUCUAUGGGAAUUUCGUGUAUAUUUUCAUGUUGACCCCAUAGGGGCAUUAUUCACAGUUAUUUCCUGUAUUUUAUCCACCUACCUAUGCCAGGACUGUAUCUGGCGGAUGGAUAGACUUUUAAAGACAAUGGACCAAUGGACAGCCAUAGCUUAUAAUCAUUCCUGGUGAUUACUACUAUUAAUAACUAGCGAUCAUAACGGGACUUUUAUUCAUUAUAUUGCUACCAAUUUAAUAAUCCUUACGGAAUUACUCAUCCGACUUGGGUCUUAUGGGGGCACUAUUUAAACAUUAUGUCCCUCGAUUCAGUUCAGUAUCACGUCUUACGACGUGACUGACAAGUGACAGAUCCAAUCGACAGAUGGAUAGGAGGGAUACGCAUUGGACCAAUUGCUAACCGAUAUGUGCGCAUGCGCAUUGGGCGCUUGUAAACUACAUAUCGUUAUCACUAUGUAAACCCUCCUUUAGUUCUGUAUCCUAAUAAAGUCUCCAAACUAUAUUGUAACGAAUAAAAAAUCCUGUGGAUGAACUCAUGUGGACAUCGUCUAAACCUCAUUAUUACGCCCCUUCAUUCAUUCUAAGACCACGUCAUAUGACGCGGCGGACAAGAGGCGGGCCUAAGAGGUAGCUGACCAAUAAGCUAACAGUAUUGUCGGCAACACACGUGGUACACAACAGCUGCUUUCCAUCUUAUAGAUUGUAACAAGGUGUAUUUAAAUCGCUACAGGGAACUCCAAAAGUUUAUUGCUCCUGAUGACGGCGUGUUGAAACGCUGAAACGCGCGUCGAGCUUCUUUUUAUUUUAUUUUCUUUGUUUUGCACUUUUUUGGUAGCACUGAUGGAUUGAUUUAAUUUAAUUUAUUUUAUCAGUUAUUAUUUACUUUUGACAGGCAGGGACUGAGUUUCUUUGGUAGGCACUGGUGAUUUUUCACAGUGCCGAGGUAACUAGGGCAAGUGGACCUUUAUAGGAGUUUUUUGCACAAUAUUUACUCCUUGGGAUACCUCCCUUUACAUUUGCUCCCUUUCCCUAUUUCUUUAGUUACCCCCUUUUUCAAUUAGGGUCCCUGUUCUGGGAAGAUUUAGAGGGCGUGCCUUUUAGGAUCCUAGACAUUCAGCAGGCAGUUUUUUAGUAACUGGUUCCUGUGUCUAGCCUGCAGGACUCUCUUUUGCUACAUUUCUUCCCACCUGUCUUGUUGUGUGUAUCUUUAGAAUUAUUAAAAGGUAGGGACCCCCUUUUCCCCUCUUCAUAUUACUCUCCUGUUUAGGACUCUCGUGGUCCUCCUUUCCGUUUUAAGUAAUCUAGGUAUAUGUUAAUUACAAAUACGCAAGUCUGUUAUUUUGUUUCUUUGAUACAAAGAUGUUAAAUCAUGGAAUUUACCUUUGAAAUCACUCUCCUUUCAAUUCUAGGGACAAACUUUCGGAAUAUAUUAAAUACGCUGAAUUACAUAAUUACGUUUCGGUUAGUAAUAAUUCCUUUCUUUAAGACUCUAUUUCACUCCUCUCUUCUACAUUCCUAAACUAGUAGACUCGGUAAACUCAGUCGUCUUAAUGUAGGCAUAAUUUAGCCACAAACAUUAUACUUUAAUAGUUU
rnacentral:lncRNA from 1 species